rnacentral:misc_RNA from 1 species
GUUCACUAUACAGACAUAAUUUAGAGGAAUUCUCUCAUUGCAAAAAAUGAAUUUUUUUUUAUAAAGAGCCUUCACCAGUUUAUGUCAAAGUGACUUUGUUGGUGAAAAAGCUAUUGAUGCAUGAACUGAAGUUUCUCAGUAAGCUACCUAUUAACAUGAUCAAUUGCCAGAAGGAGCUAGUAUAUUAGUUAUCUUUUUCGUCACAAUUACCAUACACAACGGAGAAGUAGUGGCCCAGAUCCUUUGGUGUUAAGCCUGGAAACCGAUGAAAACUGCUGGGCAGCGGGUCAAUUUUGACAAAUGGCCAUCUCAUACUUUCUGCUGCUUCACAUUCUUCCCAUCCAUCUCCGAUAACACAAAAUUGCACGUUUGGCCCAUUGAACCGCUCCUUUAUCCAUGAAAAGCACUGGAGCUUGCCCACUUCCCAUGAACUGUAAACAUUUUCGCUAGGGAAUAAAUCACCCAGGCGAAAGAGCAAGCAUUUAAUUAAGCUGGGUAUCAAUGAUCCCGAGGUCACCAAGAUAU